CCAAUAGCGUAUAUUAAAGUUGUUGCAGUUAAAAAGCUCGUAGUUGAAUUUCGGGGUCAGUAGGUUGGUCAUGCCACUGGUAUGUACUGGUCUCACUGAUUCCUCCUUCCUGAUGAGCCGUAAUGCCAUUAAUUUGGUGUUGCGAGGAAUUUGGACUGUUACUUUGAAAAAAUUAGAGUGUUUAAAGCAGGCUAACGCUUGAAUACAUUAGCAUGGAAUAAUGAAAUAGGACGUUCGAUCUUAUUUUGUUGGUUUCUAGGAUUGACGUAAUGAUUAAUAGGGAUAGUUGGGGGCAUUAGUAUUCAAUUGUCAGAGGUGAAAUUCUUGGAUUUAUUGAAGACUAACUACUGCGAAAGCAUUUGCCAAGGAUGUUUUCAUUAAUCAAGAACGAAAGUUAGGGGAUCGAAGACGAUCAGAUACCGUCGUAGUCUUAACCAUAAACUAUGCCGACUAGGGAUCGGAUGAUGUUAAUUUUUUAAUGACUCAUUCGGCGCCUUACG
rnacentral:rRNA from 1 species